AAGUACACAUCCGGGUGUUCGGCUCUUCCUGCGGCGAUACCUGCUUCAUUUCUCAUGGCCACGGGCUGGACGCUGUGACGAGUGCAUGGUCAAGAGAAAUCGGCGUUUGGUCCAAAGCGGAAGAGUUGAUCUGAGAAAUACCGGUUGAACUUGAACUGGAUAAUACCAGCGAAAGGACAUGUGGACCUUUAAUCC
rnacentral:ncRNA from 1 species